rnacentral:lncRNA from 1 species
AAUCACAAAGGAACAACCAGAUUUAAACUAUGAGUUGUAUUGUACUUAUGCAAAAGUACACAAGUGGAACAUUCUUCAAUGUGGUGUCAUAGAAGUACAUUUUUGUCUUAUAUCCUCAUGUACUAUUCCAGCUGGUUUUAUUCUCAAGCUAAGGCUACUACUGAUCAGCCCUUAGAGCUAUAUUACAGCUGCAUACCACAAGAGAGGAAGGAUGAAGGUUCAUCUUAUUUGCUGGUGCAGUCAAGACUGUUUCAAGACUGAUGCAAGACUGAUCCUGCACACAGUUUUUCAAAACCAUUCCCAACUGUCAUGGGUCCUUUU